GCUCCAGACAGUAAAGCUCCCAGCAAGCAUUUCCCAUUUGCACGCCCGCUUGCCCUAUGUGAAUGGAUAUGCAUUCCCGCUGCGAACAAACGGGCAUAAAGACAAAGCUAUUCCAUUACGUCAUACGUAAAUGGUCGUGUUCGACUAUAUCACACUACAUUUAGCUAUUAUUACCACCUUGGAUAUCAUUAAAAAAUUUAUGACAGCGGUAUGGCUUUAUAAAGGCAAUAUAACUGUUAUCCCACAGUAGAUGUCCAUCAAAAAUGUACAAGUUUCUGAUUAAUUAAACACACGGAUUGUCGAGCGAGCUUAACAAGCCUUAACGAGGUUGACUGUGUAGGGAACGAGCUACGCUUAACAAGGGAUGAUUACCGGUGGCCCAGACAUCGUCGACUAAAGCAAUGUCGUUAUCUGUCAACAAGGUCUGGUGGAAAAAUGCUACCUUGACCUAUAAUGUGUCCCCCAUGGAUAAUUCAGGUGUACCCUAAAAGUUGACAUACUGUAACCAUAGCAGCUUAAUCGAAUAUCAAACUGCACACCCGCAUAUGAUGAUAUGACACGAUUGCACCGAUUCGACCGAAGAGAUUUUCCUGGUCUUACUGCAAUUAGUGUGAUAUAAGAGCCAAAUGUCGUUCGAUUCGCAAAAGGGCGAACUCGCUUGGCCAAAAUGUGAUCCAUCCCUUUUAAGAAUAUUCUCCCUUCGGAGAAAAUAUUUCGUACAAGCGUAUCUAAAUGCGCAAAUAUUUGGACAGUCUAAAAAAUGUGGCUAUAAUAAUACAGCUGUUAGAGAAAAGCGGCACAGCCGAAUGAGCCGCAUUCAUACUCGUUAUUUUAAUUUCCAUUUUGGUAUUGAGCAACAAAAUUGAAGGACUUGGAGAAGCGAUUACAAGAUUUAAGGGAGAAGUGGGAUAAUAUUUUACUAAUAUAAAGCUGUCGAUCGACAUGCGUUCACGGCGUGGAUCGAUACUUCACAAUUCAAGUUUCGCGUGUAGUUUUAAAAUAUAUAGAGGAAGAUAAAAGAUGCAUAUCGUAUAUCGGUAAAAUUCAAUCUAAAGUUUCUUUAAUAUUCUAAAAAUAUACAUAUUAAUAAUUUUUUAAAAAUUUAUUUAGCUUUCUUUAGACUGCAAAUAAUAAGAAAUCAUAACAAAAUUAAACCAAAAGAUCCUGUU